rnacentral:lncRNA from 1 species
GCUGAUAUUUUUUAUUAUGAAUAAGGCUUAAUGACAAGUGGAACAGGCUCCUGACUAUUCAGAGCUUGAGAUACAUUAGCUGUGGUUGUAUUUUGCUGUUUAUUUUAAGUAGAAACCAAUUAUAUAAUUAAAACCUAACUAUGUCCUUUUGAGGCAAGGAUAAAUUAAUGAAUAACUAAUCUUAUAAAAAACAAAAUUGCAGUUUAUUAUCAAUACAUGAUAUUCAGUUUAUCAUAACAAAUACAUGAUUUUAACAUAUGGAAUAUAUCAAGAAAAAAAUUAAACAAAACAUUAUCAUUAAAAAAACAUUAAUUCUAAUACAAUUUACAUUUGAAUCUGAGCAAGGGUUUCAAACAUUUUCCCUUGACUUCUAAAAAACUUCAAGUAAAUUAUCUGGUGGAAAUUUUGUUAGAUCUUGUUGUUAAUUGUAUACCGGUAUAUCUGUUGCUACUCAACUUCAACUUUGUUACAUUUAUAAUUAAAUCAAAUUAAUAUUUACUAGAGUAAAAACUAUUAUAAAACUCACUAACUACUUCAAAUAAAUAUGUAAUGAUACCCAUUUAUAGGUGGAACAGCCACAAUUCUUUUCAUAACAGACAAUUAUCUGGAAAAAAAUGUUUCCAACACAACUCUAAUUUAUAUGGGUCUUCACAAAAUAAAAUUGUAAAGGAAAAUGGAAAACAAAAUAUUUCAUUCCUAUGGAUAAAUUGUAAGUAAAAAUUCUAAUGAUAUUCAAGGAUAAACUUUCAAAACACUAAAAAUAAUGCAUCAGAAAUGUGAAAUUGCGUAUUUUCAAAUAUAACUCUAUAUCCAUUAAUAUAUGCUGUUGUAUACCAUUUUAGAUAUCUUUUGGUCCAAAUUUUCAAAACAAUUGGAUUGGAUGAAAUUUAGGUAAAUACAAACAUAUAAGGUAUUUUUUUCUUUCUUUCAUUUUCAUGAAAACUAAAUGAUAACUGAUAAUGAGUUAAAAUAUAUUUCAUUGUCUGAUUACAUGAAAUUUGAACAAUUCAUGGAUAGAUUUCUCUAUUUUUCUAUGAUGAUCAUCAAUUUCUUUUCAUCUUAAGUUAACGGAAUUCACAAUUCAGAGAUACAAGAAGGUAAAUAAGAGCCUGAAUUGCUCCUAUGCCAAAUAGAUGCCAAUAAGAUAUUUAUUUUAGUAAAUAUUUUCGUUUUCAAAUACACUGUUUCUUUAGUUCAUUCAAGUGAAUUUAAGGCCAUUAAAUAAUUUUCGCUCUUCAGUGUCUGAAUCACAUUAUUUAUUUGAGCAACAAUCAGGAUAAACAAAUAUUGUCAAGAAACUCUCAAGUUCUCUCCCUUUACCAAAUCAUUUCCUUUUAUUCAAAUUUAUUUCAAAAGCGGACUUUAUAGUAAUAAAUGAUUGUUAUUUUGAUGAUUUGAGUUUUGCUUAUAUUCAAAAUAUAAAUGAUUUUAUUUUCAUUUGAAGGACCUGUAUUUUUUCAUAAUGAUGUAUGUUAUGAAGACAAAAUUGAGAAAAAUUGUAGAGACAAAAGUGAACAAGAAAGUGUCCAAAGUACACAGAUGUCCCACUCAAACCAUCAUUUCUAUGUUCAGUGGACUGUGAAAUUGGGAUCAAAACUCAAAUUUGGCAUUUAAAUUAGAAAGAUCAUAUCACAGAUAACAUGUGUACUAAGUUUCAAGUUGAUUGGACCUCAACUUCAUUAAAAACUACCUUGAACCUGAAAGGGUAUACACGGACAAACCAAGGGACACACAGAUCGAAUAACAUAUUGCCCAAAAAUGGGGCAUAACAAACGUUACCUCAGAAAGCAAAAGAGAUUCUUUCUUUUUUUUUAAAUAUCAAUAGAUUGAAAUUAAUGUCAGACAACAAAUCAUUAAUAUCAUUAAGAUAUUUUACAUUAACAAAAAAAUCCACUGUAUAACUAACGUAUAUUAAUAA